UCAAGUUAUUAAGGGUGCAGGGCGGAUGCCUUGGCACUAGGAGCCGAUGAAGGACGUGAUAAGCUGCGAUAAGCUUCGGGGAGUUGCACGUAAACUUUGAUCCGAAGAUUUCCGAAUGAGGAAACUCACUUAGAGUAAUGUCUAAGUAUCAUUAAGUGAAUACAUAGCUUAAUGAGGGGAACUCAGGGAACUGAAACAUCUAAGUACCUGAAGGAAGAGAAAGAAAUUCGAUUCCGUAAGUAGCGGCGAGCGAACGCGGAUUAGCCCAAACCAAUAAAGUUUUCUUUAUUGGGGUUGCGGACAUAUCAUAACGAAGAGGUAUCGUAAUUGAAGAGGUUUGGAAAGACCCACCACAGAAGGUAAUAGUCCUGUAUGUUAAACGAGAAGACUUCAGAUAUGAUCCAGAGUACCACGGGACACGUGAAACCCUGUGGGAAGCAGGAGGGACCACCCUCCAAGGCUAAAUACUACCUAGUGACCGAUAGCGUAUAGUACCGUGAGGGAAAGGUGAAAAGAACCCCGGGAGGGGAGUGAAAUAGAACCUGAAACCCUGCACUUACAAGCUGUGGAAGCACAUUUCUUGUGUGACCGCGUACUUUUUGUAGAACGGGCCAACGAGUUACGUUAAGUAGCAAGGUUAAGCACUUAAGGUGUGGAGCCGUAGCGAAAGCGAGUUUUAACUGAGCGUUCAGUUACUUGACGUAGACCCGAAACCGGGCGACCUACCCAUGAGCAGGAUGAAGCGAAAGUAAAAUUUCGUGGAGGUCCGAACCCACGAGCGUUGAAAAGCUCGGGGAUGACUUGUGGGUAGCGGUGAAAUUCCAAUCGAGCCCGGAGAUAGCUGGUUCUCCCCGAAAUAGCUUUAGGGCUAGCCUCAAGGUGAGAGAUACGGAGGUAGAGCACUGAAUGUCCUAGGGGGUAUUGCACCUACCGAAGACUAUCAAACUCCGAAUGCCGUCAUCUUAUACUUGGGAGUCAGACUGUGGGUGAUAAGAUUCAUAGUCGAAAGGGCAACAGCCCAGAUCGUCAGCUAAGGUCCCUAAAUGUAAGUUAAGUGGUAAAGGAUGUGGGAUUGCACAGACAACCAGGAUGUUGGCUUAGAAGCAGCCACUCAUUCAAAGAGUGCGUAAUAGCUCACUGGUCGAGUGAUCCUGCGCCGAAGAUUUCCGGGGCUAAAACUUACUACCGAAGCUACGGCAUCAGUAAUGAUGGGUAGGGGAGCUUCCCAUACGGGUUGAAGCAUGACCGUAAGGACAUGUGGACAGUAUGGGAGUGAGAAUGUUGGCAUGAGUAGCGAGAUGUGGGUGAGAAUCCCACAGGCCGUAAACCCAAGGUUUCCAGGGGAAGGUUCGUCCGCCCUGGGUUAGUCGGGACCUAAGCUGAGGCCGAAAGGCGUAGGUGAUGGACAACAGGUUGAUAUUCCUGUACUACCGAUAACCGUUUGAGAGAAGGGAUGACACAGUAGGAUAAGCUAAGCACACUGUUGGUUAUGUGUGCCCAAGCAUUGAGGCAGUCAAAGUAGGCAAAUACGCUUUGAUAAUGCUGGGAUGUGAUGGGGAGCGAAAUUUAGUAGCGAAGUAGCUGAUUUCACACUGUCAAGAAAAGUCUCUAUCGAGGUUAAAGGUACCCGUACCGCAAACCGACACAGGUGGGUGAGGAGAGUAUCCUAAGGCCAGCGAGAGAACUGUUGUUAAGGAACUCGGCAAAAUGACCCCGUAACUUAGGGAUAAGGGGUGCCACCAUCAGGUGGCCGCAGAGAAUAGGCCCAAGCGACUGUUUACCAAAAACAUAGGUUUCUGCUAAGUCGCAAGACGAUGUAUAGGAGCUGACGCCUGCCCGGUGCUGGAAGGUUAAGGGGAUCUGUUAGAGCAAUCGAAGCAGUGAACUUAAGCCCCAGUAAACGGCGGCCGUAACUAUAACGGUCCUAAGGUAGCGAAAUUCCUUGUCGGGUAAGUUCCGACCCGCACGAAAGGCGUAACGAUUUGGGCACUGUCUCAACAACAGACUCGGUGAAAUUGUAAUUCCGGUGAAGAUGCCGGAUACCUGCGACAGGACGGAAAGACCCCAUGGAGCUUUACUGUAGCUUGACAUUGGGUCUUGGUACUACAUGUACAGGAUAGGUGGGAGGCUUUGAAACCAGGACGCCAGUUUUGGCGGAGCCAUCCUUGGGAUACCACCCUUGUAGUACUGGGACUCUAACCAUAGACCAUGAAUCUGGUCUUGGGACACUGUCAGGUGGGCAGUUUGACUGGGGCGGUCGCCUCCCAAAAGGUAACGGAGGCGCUCAAAGGUUCUCUCAGUACGGUCGGAAAUCGUACGUAGAGUGUAAAGGCAAAAGAGAGCUUGAUUGCAAGACAUACAGGUCGAGCAAGGAUGAAAAUCGGACUUAGUGAUCCGGUGGUUCUGCGUGGAAGGGCCAUCGCUCAACGGAUAAAAGCUACCCUGGGGAUAACAGGCUUAUCUCCCCCAAGAGUCCACAUCGACGGGGAGGUUUGGCACCUCGAUGUCGGCUCAUCACAUCCUGGGGCUGUAGUAGGUCCCAAGGGUUGGGCUGUUCGCCCAUUAAAGUGGUACGCGAGCUGGGUUCAGAACGUCGUGAGACAGUUCGGUCCCUAUCCGUCGCAGGCGUAGGAAAUUUGAGAAGACCUGUCCUUAGUACGAGAGGACCGGGAUGGACGUACCUCUGGUGUACCAGUUGUCCUGCCAAGGGCAUGGCUGGGUAGCUAUGUACGGAAUGGAUAAGCGCUGAAAGCAUCUAAGCGCGAAGCCAACUUCAAGAUAAGAUUUCCCACCGCAAGGGUAAGACCCCAGAAAGACUAUCUGGUUGAUAGGUCGAAGGUGUAAGUGCAGCAAUGUAUUUAGCUUAUCGAUACUAAUAGGUCGAGGACUUGACCAA
rnacentral:rRNA from 1 species